rnacentral:piRNA from 1 species
UUGCUGACAAACACAUUCUACCC